rnacentral:rRNA from 1 species
UACGUAGGGUGCAAGCGUUAAUCGGAAUUACUGGGCGUAAAGCGUGCGCAGGCGGUUAUGCAAGACAGAUGUGAAAUCCCCGGGCUCAACCUGGGAACUGCAUUUGUGACCGCAUAGCUAGAGUGCGGCAGAGGGAGAUGGAAUUCCGCGUGUAGCAGUGAAAUGCGUAGAUAUGCGGAGGAACACCGAUGGCGAAGGCAAUCUCCUGGGCCUGCACUGACGCUCAUGCACGAAAGCGUGGGGAGCAAACAGG